rnacentral:rRNA from 1 species
CGAGGAGCUUGCUCCUCUGACGUUAGCGGCGGACGGGUGAGUAACACGUGGAUAACCUACCUAUAAGACUGGGAUAACUUCGGGAAACCGGAGCUAAUACCGGAUAAUAUAUUGAACCGCAUGGUUCAAUAGUGAAAGACGGUUUUGCUGUCACUUAUAGAUGGAUCCGCGCCGCAUUAGCUAGUUGGUAAGGUAACGGCUUACCAAGGCAACGAUGCGUAGCCGACCUGAGAGGGUGAUCGGCCACACUGGAACUGAGACACGGUCCAGACUCCUACGGGAGGCAGCAGUAGGGAAUCUUCCGCAAUGGGCGAAAGCCUGACGGAGCAACGCCGCGUGAGUGAUGAAGGUCUUCGGAUCGUAAAACUCUGUUAUUAGGGAAGAACAAAUGUGUAAGUAACUAUGCACGUCUUGACGGUACCUAAUCAGAAAGCCACGGCUAACUACGUGCCAGCAGCCGCGGUAAUACGUAGGUGGCAAGCGUUAUCCGGAAUUAUUGGGCGUAAAGCGCGCGUAGGCGGUUUUUUAAGUCUGAUGUGAAAGCCCACGGCUCAACCGUGGAGGGUCAUUGGAAACUGGAAAACUUGAGUGCAGAAGAGGAAAGUGGAAUUCCAUGUGUAGCGGUGAAAUGCGCAGAGAUAUGGAGGAACACCAGUGGCGAAGGCGACUUUCUGGUCUGUAACUGACGCUGAUGUGCGAAAGCGUGGGGAUCAAACAGGAUUAGAUACCCUGGUAGUCCACGCCGUAAACGAUGAGUGCUAAGUGUUAGGGGGUUUCCGCCCCUUAGUGCUGCAGCUAACGCAUUAAGCACUCCGCCUGGGGAGUACGACCGCAAGGUUGAAACUCAAAGGAAUUGACGGGGGACCCGCACAAGCGGUGGGAGCAUGUGGUUUAAUUCGAAGCAACGCGAA